rnacentral:rRNA from 1 species
UACGUAGGGUGCAAGCGUUGUCCGGAAUUAUUGGGCGUAAAGAGCUCGUAGGCGGUCUGUCGCGUCGGAUGUGAAAACCCAGGGCUCAACCCUGGGCCUGCAUUCGAUACGGGCAGACUAGAGUUCGGUAGGGGAGACUGGAAUUCCUGGUGUAGCGGUGAAAUGCGCAGAUAUCAGGAGGAACACCAGUGGCGAAGGCGGCUCACUGGCCCGGUACUGACGCUGAGGCGCGAAAGCGUGGGGAGCAAACAGG